UCAUAAACAUGAAAAGAGAGCCAUGCAAGAACAUGACCCUCAAACGUAAGCCCAUUUAAGAUGGCAGCUAGUUUAAUAUGUUAUAAAAAU
rnacentral:sRNA from 1 species